rnacentral:misc_RNA from 1 species
AGACCACUCACGCCCGGCGUGGUAUUGGGGCACGCGGUUCCGCGGCCCUCAAAAUUAGUGGCGGCGCCGGUAGGCCCUAAGCGUAGUAAAUCUCCUCGCUAUAGGGCCCUCUCGGUGGCUCGCCAGAACCCCCAACUUCUCAA